UACGUAGGGGGCAAGCGUUGUCCGGAAUCAUUGGGCGUAAAGCGCGCGUAGGUGGUCUCGUAAGUCCGCUGUGAAAGUCAAAGGCUCAACCUUUGAAAGCCGGUGGAUACUGUGGGACUAGAGUACGGAAGAGGCGAGUGGAAUUCCUGGUGUAGCGGUGGAAUGCGCAGAUAUCAGGAGGAACACCAAUAGCGAAGGCAGCUCGCUGGGACGUUACUGACACUGAGGCGCGAAAGCGUGGGGAGCGAACAGG
rnacentral:rRNA from 1 species